GUAAUCUUUUGGUAUAAUCUGUCGGUAACCUUUAGGUAUAAUCUGUCGGUAAUCUUUAGGUAUAAUCUGUCGGUAACCUUUAGGUAUAAUCUGUCGGUAAUCUUUAGGUAUAAUCUGUAGGUAAUCUUUAGGUAUAAUCUGUAGGUAAUCUUUAGGUAUAAUCUGUAGGUAAUCUUUAGGUAUAAUCUGUAGGUAAUCUUUAGGUAUAAUCUGUAGGUAAUCUUUAGGUAUAAUCUGUAGGUAAUCUUUAGGUAUAAUCUGUAGGUAAUCUUUAGGUAUAAUCUGUAGGUAAUCUUUAGGUAUAAUCUGUAGGUAAUCUUUAGGUAUAAUCUGUAGGUAAUCUUUAGGUAUAAUCUGUAGGUAAUCUUUAGGUAUAAUCUGUAGGUAAUCUUUAGGUAUAAUCUUUAGGUAUGACCUGUAGGUAAUCUUUAGGUAUGACCUGUAGGUAAUCUUUAGGUAUAAUCUGUCGGUAAUCUUUAGGUAUAAUCUGUCGGUAAUCUGUCGGUAAUCUAGGUAUAAUCUGUAGGUAAUCUUUAGGUAUAAUCUGGUGUCUCUGCAUGCAGUAUCCUGGUAUGUUGUGUUGAUAUGACGAUACUAAAUGAACGAGCCAGCAGCACCAAAUAAGGCAACGGUACAAGCAUCAACCUCUAAUACUGAAUGGAAAUUAUGCAAAUGAACUGAGAGAGAGAGAGGAGAGAGGAGAGAGG